GCCCUGGUGGUGAAAUGGUAGACACGAGGGACUUAAAAUCCCUUGGGCCGAAAGGCCCGUGCGGGUUCGAUUCCCGCCCGGGGCA
rnacentral:tRNA from 1 species